GGGGUAUUGUGAAAUAUCUCUGCACUGAUCAACUAGGUGAUGUAACUCUUGUCUAGGCUCUGCCUACAGGGGCGUUUUGACAUAUCUCUGAACUGAUGACAAAAGUGAUGUAACUCUUGCCUAGGCUUUGCCUACAGGGGACAUUGUGACAUAUCUCUGCACUGAUCACCCAGGUGAUGCAACUCUUCUCUAUGCUCUGCCUAUAGGGGGCAUUGUGACAUAUCUCUGCACUGAUCACUCAGGUGAUGUAACUCUUGUCUAGGCUCUGCCUACAGGGGGUAUUGUGACAUAUCUCUGCACUGAUCACCUAAGUGAUGUAACACUUGUGUAGGCUCUGCCUACAGG
rnacentral:lncRNA from 1 species